rnacentral:lncRNA from 1 species
AAGCCUGGGCUGUGGGAGAGGUCUGAGGAGGGGAGACAAGAAGGAAAAGGGAAGGAGAGGAGGUCCGAGAAGGCUUCCUUGUAGGCUCAGAGGAAGUGCAAAGCUGUUAGAGCCUAGCACAUAGUAGGUGCUCAGUAAGCAACUGCUGAAUGAAUGAUGAAAAGUAUGCUUUGCAAGAACACUCAUGGUGCUGAGUUGAGGACAUGAGAACACUCACGGUGCUGAGUCAGAGGGCAAAGGUAGCAUGGGGGACCACCCUGAGACCCAGGUGGGAGAGAGCGGUCUGAAGCCAGAAAGAGAAGAGCUCGGCUUCCAGACAGAUUUGGAAGGAGAGCUGCCAGGACUUACUGACAGAGGGGCUGUGCGGGGGAAAGGAGAGGAGUCGAGAAGGAGGAAGAUGCUCUGUCCUCUUUGGACAAGCAGGGUUUGGGUUGGGUGGACUCAAGUGUUCUCCAUUAUGCGUGAGAUGGCUGGUUGACAACCAAGUGGCCAUGUGGAGUUAGUUAAGCCAGUUUGGAGUCAGGGAGAGUUGGGGACUUCUGGACCAGAUAUCACCCUUGAUACCAUGCUCUCUCUGGAGGACAGCUUCUGGAAAUGCAGAGACCUGGGCCUGCAAGAGGAAGAGAAUCGCCUGAGGACACAGGAGCGGGGACGGGAGCCAGGCUUUGAGUCAGUCCUCCCUCUCCUGGGCAAGCCAUGGAUCAUCCUGCCCAGCACUUCUCGUCCUUGACGGCUGAGUUCUGAAGGGAGGAAGGCAAGACCCGAAGAGACAGAUGGACACUCCCAGGAUGACACAGUUCACAGCAAGGCCAAGAUGCAAAUUAAUCUCCUAACUCUCAUUACAACAGCUUCUACUUUUGCCUCUUCUGGGUUCUUUCAUUCACUCAACAGACAUUUGCAGAGUUAGCUCAUAGUCUCUCUUAAGUUUUAGAUAUUUGAAGAUAAGCGUUAAAAGUCCCUAUGAUUGGGGAACCCACAGCUUAUGGGAGAGGCAAGUAUUAGAGGUGAUUUACUACAACUCGAGGGAUUUACUGCAACUCGAGGGAUUUACUACGCAAAGUGCUGGGCAUUCCAAGGAGGCAUGGAAGCUCUCUGAACACCAGGGCAGUAACUGCUCUGCCCAGGAGAGUGGGGUCCACUCUUGCACCUUGAAGGACCAGGGAUGAGGAAAGUGGUUCAGAUGAAUUUCUGAAUUAGUCUGACUAGGCUCUGAACCUGGCGCACAAUAAAUGUAGUAAAUAUUGAUGCAAUAAAUAAAGCCCUUGCAAGUCAACAGACAAAAC